rnacentral:lncRNA from 1 species
GCCUAAGUUCGACCAUCUCAUAUCGUUGAUGUGCCAGUGUGGAAGCUUACUCAAGAUGGUUUGUUCUCAAUGAAGUCCUUCUAUAAAUUUCUCAAUUGUGGAGGUCUAAAAUGUCCAUUUGCAAAAAAUAUUUGGAACUCUACUACUAGGAAGAGUGGAGGUCCUCUUAUGGCUUGCAACAAAGAAUAAAUUGCACGUGAAGGAAAUUGUUGCUAAGAAAGGAUGGAAU